rnacentral:rRNA from 1 species
ACGGAGGGUGCAAGCGUUAUCCGGAAUCAUUGGGUUUAAAGGGUCCGCAGGCGGACUAGUAAGUCAGUGGUGAAAUCCCUCAGCUUAACUGAGGAACUGCCAUUGAUACUGCUAGUCUUGAAUUCGGUCGAAGUGGGCGGAAUGUGUCAUGUAGCGGUGAAAUGCAUAGAUAUGACACAGAACACCGAUAGCGAAGGCAGCUCACUGGGCCUGAAUUGACGCUCAGGGACGAAAGCGUGGGGAGCAAACAGG